rnacentral:lncRNA from 1 species
ACCGUUUCCGGGAGCCUUAAAGGGGCCGCGCCUCCGCGAUGGAUGCGGGAGCGGGGCCGACUGGCCCCCCGGGUGUUCCGCAAGCUCAUCCAACUUCCUUCUGCCUGAAUUACCAACUUCCAGGAAAAGGAGACACCGUCCUCACUCCCUGGCCUCUACCUCUUUCUUCAAGCUGUUUCCGCCUCCAGCCCCUCAUUCCUGGUUUCUAUCAGUAGAUGCCAAGCACUGGGCACUGACGCCUGGAAGCCUGGCGUGGUUCGAGCCCCCUCGUGCCAAUGAAACCUUAGAGUUCGCUUUAGAAGCUUCAGAUGUUCUACCGGCCGUGGGCGGUGGCUCACACUUGUAAUCCCAGCACCUUGGGAGGCCGAGGCGGGCGGAUCACCUGAGGUCAGAAGUUCGAGAUCAGUCUGGCCAACAUUGUGAAAUCCCGUCUCUACAAAAAAAAUUAGCCGGUUGUGGUGGCGCGCGCCUGUAAUCCCAGCAACUCGGGAGGCUGAAGCAGGAGAAUCGCUUGAACCGGGGAGGCAGAGGUUGCAGUGAGCCGAGAUCAUGCCACCGCACUGCAGCCUAGACGACAGAGCAGACCCCUUCUCGAAAAUAAAAUAAAAUGCUGGGCGCAGUGGCUCACGCUUGUAAUCCCAGCACUUUGGGAGGCCGAGGAGGGCGGAUCACUUGAGGCCAGGAAUUCGAGACCAUCCUUGCCAACAUGGUGAAACCCCGUCUCUACUAAAAAUACAAAAAAAAUCAGCCCGGCGUGGUGGCGGGCGCCUGUAGUCCGAGCUACUCCGGAGACUGAGCCAGGAGAAUGGCGUGAACCCCGGGGGCGGAGCUUGCAGUGAGCCGAGAUCGCUCCACUGCACUCUAGCCUGGGCGACACAGGGAGACUCCGUCUCAAAAAAUAUACAUAUACAAAAAUUAGCCAGGCAUGGUGGCGGGCGCCUGUAAUCCCAGCUACUUGGGAGGCUGAGGCAGGAGCAUCGCUUGAACCCGGGAGGCAGAGGUUGCAGUAAGCCGAGAUUGCACCACUGCACUGCAGCCUGGGCGACAGAACGAGAGACUCCGUCUCAAAAUAAAAUAGGCCGGGCGCCGUGGCUCACGCCUGUAAUCCCAGCACUUUGGGAGUCCGAGGCGGGUGGAUCACCCGAGGUCAGGAGUUUGAGACCAGCCUGACCAACGUGGUGAAACCCUGUCUCUACUAAAAAAUACAAAAAUUAGCCAGGCAUGGUGGCGGGCACCUGUAACACCUGUAAUCCCAGCUACAGGCUGAAGCAGGAGAAUCGCUUAAACCCGGGAGGCAGAGGUUGCAGUGAGCUGAGAUCGUGCCAUUGCACUCCAGCCUGGGCGACAGAGCAAGACUACGUCUCAAAAAAAUAAAUAACUGGCCAGGCGCAGUGGCUCAUGCCUGUAAUCCCAGCACUUUGGGAGGCCGAGGCAGGUGGAUCACAAGGUCAGGAGUUCGAGACCAGCCUGGCUAACAUGGUGAAACCCCGUCUUUACUAAAAAUACAAAAUUUAGCCAAGCAUGGUGGCAGAUGCCUGUAAUCCCAGCUACUUGGGAGGCUGAGAUAGAGAAUUGCUUGAACCCGGGAGGCAGAGGUUGCAGUGAGGCAAGAUCGUGCCACUGCACUCCAGCCUGGGCGACAAAGUGAGACUCCGUAUCGAAAAUAAAUAAGUAAAUGAAAUCAUA